rnacentral:rRNA from 1 species
GACGAACGCUGGCGGCGUGCUUAACACAUGCAAGUCGAACGGAAAGGCCCUGCUUGCAGGGUACUCGAGUGGCGAACGGGUGAGCAACACGUGGGUGAUCUGCCCUGCACUUCGGGAUAAGCCUGGGAAACUGGGUCUAAUACCGGAUAGGAGCCAUUUUUAGUGUGAUGGUUGGAAAGUUUUUUCGGUGUAGGAUGAGCUCGCGGCCUAUCGGCGUGUUGGUGGGGUAAUGGCCUACCAAGGCGGCGACGGGUAGCCGGCCUGAGAGGGUGGACGGCCACAUUGGGACUGAGAGAAGGCCCAGGUGGCGACGGGUGGCAGCAGGGGGCAAUACUGAACCAGGGGCGCAAGCCGGAUGCAGAGAGGCCGCGUGGGGGAUGACGGUCUUGGGGUUGUAAAAUCCUUUCGCUAGGAACGAAGCUUGUUCUGACGGUACCUAGAUAAGAAGCACCGGCUAACUACGUG